GGGUUGUGAGGUUAAGCGACUAAGCGUACACGGUGGAUGCCCUGGCAGUCAGAGGCGAUGAAGGGCGUGCUAAUCUGCGAUAAGCGCCGGUAAGGUGAUAUGAACCGUUAUAACCGGCGAUACCCGAAUGGGGAAACCCAGUGUGAUUCGUCACACUAUCAUUAACUGAAUCCAUAGGUUAAUGAGGCGAACCGGGGGAACUGAAACAUCUAAGUACCCCGAGGAAAAGAAAUCAACCGAGAUUCCCCCAGUAGCGGCGAGCGAACGGGGAGGAGCCCAGAGCCUGAAUCAGCAUGUGUGUUAGUGGAAGCGUCUGGAAAGGCGCGCGAUACAGGGUGACAGCCCCGUACACAAAAGCGCAUGUGCUGUGAGCUCGAUGAGUAGGGCGGGACACGUGGUAUCCUGUCUGAAUAUGGGGGGACCAUCCUCCAAGGCUAAAUACUCCUGACUGACCGAUAGUGAACCAGUACCGUGAGGGAAAGGCGAAAAGAACCCCGGCGAGGGGAGUGAAAAAGAACCUGAAACCGUGUACGUACAAGCAGUGGGAGCCCCACCACUAAGCCAGUGGUGAACUCCACAUACGCAUCCUUUGCUGAGGAUACGGUUAACGGAGCGCAAGCGACGUUCAACCUCAAAAGAAGCAGAGGGGGCUUAGUGGUGGGGUGACUGCGUACCUUUUGUAUAAUGGGUCAGCGACUUAUAUUCUGUAGCAAGGUUAACCGUAUAGGGGAGCCGGAGGGAAACCGAGUCUUAACCGGGCGUUAAGUUGCAGGGUAUAGACCCGAAACCCGGUGAUCUAGCCAUGGGCAGGUUGAAGGUUGGGUAACACUAACUGGAGGACCGAACCGACUAAUGUUGAAAAAUUAGCGGAUGACCUGUGGCUGGGGGUGAAAGGCCAAUCAAACCGGGAGAUAGCUGGUUCUCCCCGAAAGCUAUUUAGGUAGCGCCUCGUGAAUUCAUCUCCGGGGGUAGAGCACUGUUUCGGCUAGGGGGCCAUCCCGGCUUACCAACCCGAUGCAAACUGCGAAUACCGGAGAAUGUUAUCACGGGAGACACACGGCGGGUGCUAACGUCCGUCGUGAAGAGGGAAACAACCCAGACCGCCAGCUAAGGUCCCAAAGUCAUGGUUAAGUGGGAAACGAUGUGGGAAGGCCCAGACAGCCAGGAUGUUGGCUUAGAAGCAGCCAUCAUUUAAAGAAAGCGUAAUAGCUCACUGGUCGAGUCGGCCUGCGCGGAAGAUGUAACGGGGCUAAACCAUGCACCGAAGCUGCGGCAGCGACACUCAGGUGUUGUUGGGUAGGGGAGCGUUCUGUAAGCCUGCGAAGGUGGCCUGUGAGGGUUGCUGGAGGUAUCAGAAGUGCGAAUGCUGACAUAAGUAACGAUAAAGCGGGUGAAAAGCCCGCUCGCCGGAAGACCAAGGGUUCCUGUCCAACGUUAAUCGGGGCAGGGUGAGUCGACCCCUAAGGCGAGGCCGAAAGGCGUAGUCGAUGGGAAACGGGUUAAUAUUCCCGUACUUGGUGUUACUGCGAAGGGGGGACGGAGAAGGCUAUGUUGGCCGGGCGACGGUUGUCCCGGUUUAAGCGUGUAGGUGUGUGUUCCAGGUAAAUCCGGUUCACUUUAACACUGAGGCGUGACGACGAGGCACUACGGUGCUGAAGCAACAAAUGCCCUGCUUCCAGGAAAAGCCUCUAAGCAUCAGGUAACAUCAAAUCGUACCCCAAACCGACACAGGUGGUCAGGUAGAGAAUACCAAGGCGCUUGAGAGAACUCGGGUGAAGGAACUAGGCAAAAUGGUGCCGUAACUUCGGGAGAAGGCACGCUGACAUGUAGGUGAAGUGAUUUACUCAUGGAGCUGAAGUCAGUCGAAGAUACCAGCUGGCUGCAACUGUUUAUUAAAAACACAGCACUGUGCAAACACGAAAGUGGACGUAUACGGUGUGACGCCUGCCCGGUGCCGGAAGGUUAAUUGAUGGGGUCAGCGCAAGCGAAGCUCCUGAUCGAAGCCCCGGUAAACGGCGGCCGUAACUAUAACGGUCCUAAGGUAGCGAAAUUCCUUGUCGGGUAAGUUCCGACCUGCACGAAUGGCGUAAUGAUGGCCAGGCUGUCUCCACCCGAGACUCAGUGAAAUUGAACUCGCUGUGAAGAUGCAGUGUACCCGCGGCAAGACGGAAAGACCCCGUGAACCUUUACUAUAGCUUGACACUGAACAUUGAGCCUUGAUGUGUAGGAUAGGUGGGAGGCUUUGAAGUGUGGACGCCAGUCUGCAUGGAGCCGACCUUGAAAUACCACCCUUUAAUGUUUGAUGUUCUAACGUGGACCCGUGAUCCGGGUUGCGGACAGUGUCUGGUGGGUAGUUUGACUGGGGCGGUCUCCUCCUAAAGAGUAACGGAGGAGCACGAAGGUUGGCUAAUCCUGGUCGGACAUCAGGAGGUUAGUGCAAUGGCAUAAGCCAGCUUGACUGCGAGCGUGACGGCGCGAGCAGGUGCGAAAGCAGGUCAUAGUGAUCCGGUGGUUCUGAAUGGAAGGGCCAUCGCUCAACGGAUAAAAGGUACUCCGGGGAUAACAGGCUGAUACCGCCCAAGAGUUCAUAUCGACGGCGGUGUUUGGCACCUCGAUGUCGGCUCAUCACAUCCUGGGGCUGAAGUAGGUCCCAAGGGUAUGGCUGUUCGCCAUUUAAAGUGGUACGCGAGCUGGGUUUAGAACGUCGUGAGACAGUUCGGUCCCUAUCUGCCGUGGGCGCUGGAGAACUGAGGGGGGCUGCUCCUAGUACGAGAGGACCGGAGUGGACGCAUCACUGGUGUUCGGGUUGUCAUGCCAAUGGCACUGCCCGGUAGCUAAAUGCGGAAGAGAUAAGUGCUGAAAGCAUCUAAGCACGAAACUUGCCCCGAGAUGAGUUCUCCCUGAGACUUUAAGUCUCCUGAAGGAACGUUGAAGACGACGACGUUGAUAGGCCGGGUGUGUAAGCGCAGCGAUGCGUUGAGCUAACCGGUACUAAUGAACCGUGAGGCUUAACCUUACAACGCCGAAG
rnacentral:rRNA from 2 species